UACGUAGGUGGCAAGCGUUAUCCGGAAUUAUUGGGCGUAAAGCGCGCGCAGGUGGUUCUUUAAGUCUGAUGUGAAAGCCCCCGGCUCAACCGGGGAGGGUCAUUGGAAACUGGGGAACUUGAGUAUAGAAGAGGAAAGUGGAAUUCCACGUGUAGCGGUGAAAUGCGUAGAGAUGUGGAGGAACGCCAGUGGCGAAGGCGACUUUCUGGUCUAUAACUGACACUGAGGCGCGAAAGCGUGGGGAGCAAACAGG
rnacentral:rRNA from 1 species